GCCUGGGUGGCUCAGUCGGUUGAGCGUCCGACUUCGACUCAGGUCAUGAUCUCACGGUUUGUGAGUUCGAGCCCCGCGUCGGGCU
rnacentral:tRNA from 1 species